rnacentral:rRNA from 1 species
UACGGAGGGUGCGAGCGUUGUUCGGAAUUACUGGGCGUAAAGGGCGCGUAGGCGGUUGUGAUAGUCAGGUGUGAAAUCCUUCGGCUUAACCGGAGAACUGCAUCUGAAACUGCAUAACUAGAGUACAGGAGAGGGAAACGGAAUUCCCGGUGUAGAGGUGAAAUUCGUAGAUAUCGGGAGGAACACCAGUGGCGAAGGCGGUUUCCUGGCCUGAUACUGACGCUGAGGCGCGAAAGCGUGGGGAG